rnacentral:tRNA from 1 species
GGCGGGGUAGCUCAGUUGACGGAAUCAUAAUCCGCAGGUCGGGGGUUCAAAUCCCUCUCCCGCUA